AUUGAACGCUGGCGGCAGGCCUAACACAUGCAAGUCGAACGGUAGCACAGAGAGCUUGCUCCCGGGUGACGAGUGGCGGACGGGUGAGUAAUGUCUGGGAAACUGCCCGAUGGAGGGGGAUAACUACUGGAAACGGUAGCUAAUACCGCAUAACGUCGCAAGACCAAAGUGGGGGACCUUCGGGCCUCACACCAUCGGAUGUGCCCAGAUGGGAUUAGCUAGUAGGUGGGGUAAUGGCUCACCUAGGCGACGAUCCCUAGCUGGUCUGAGAGGACGAACAGCCAAACUGGAACUGAGACACGGUCCAGACUCCUACGGGAGGCAGCAGUGGGUAAUAUUGCACAAUGGGCGCAAGCCUGAUGCAGCCAUGCCGCGUGUAUGAAGAAGGCCUUCGGGUUGUAAAGUACUUUCAGCGGGGAGGAAGGCGGUGAAGUUAAUAACUUCACCGAUUGACGUUACCCGCAGAAGAAGCACCGGCUAACUCCGUGCCAGCCGCCGCAGUAA
rnacentral:rRNA from 1 species